AAAACGGAAUUUGUUACCCUUAUAUUUGCUACAAACUGGGAUAUAUGCCUCUGAUAAUGGCGACAAUACAAAUAAAACUGUAUAUUACAUGUAUUUACCAAGAGUAAUUUAGAAAAAAAAAAUAAUAAUUAUUCUUCAAUUAUGCAAACUUAUAAAACUCCAAACAAGUGUUGCUGCAUGAAGGAAAGUGUCAACAGUAAUCAAAUAUAAGUAGCACUUUAAAGUAAAUGGGAUAUCAGCUGUAUUUUGACGUUUUCCAAAUAACACAAUUAUCCCAGCACAUGCACAUUUUGAGAUAUAUUUUUUAUUAACUAACGUUACAUGACCGACCCCACUGAGUGCAAAGCCGACCGGAAGUCAGCUAAUGUGACGUCAAUACGGAACGAGACGUUUAACGCGCAUGAACACUACACAUGAACCCAAGUUAACCUCACACGGACUAUAAUUUAAAACCAUAAAUAACAUUAGCAGGAGGUGACCUACGUGCAGCUUUUUGUUGUUGUUACAUACGGGACCUUCUUCUUCUUCUGCUACUUGUGGGUUUCUAAGCAUAGGAGAAGCUCUACCGCCCCCUGUUGCCCGGUUGACGUCACUGAGAAGCGACAGCCGGGUAGAAACGGUGAAACCGGGAGAGGGAGGGAGAGGGAACUACGGGAAUCGCCGGUUACCGCAGGGAAACAGGAGCAAACUUCGACUUAAGUCUUGAGCGAUUAACUGCCAUCAUAUCAAGAAUGAACUGCAGCCACGAGUUCUUUUAAAAAGCCACUCAGCUGCAGGAACGGAUGUGAAUACGAUGGCAGAAGCGGGUCAUCCGCUCUGCAGAGAGGGUGAUUGGCUGCAAUCUGCCGUCCCUGCAGGACUUGUUCGCUUCCAGGUCUCUGAAGCGAGCUAAAAAGAUCGCGGCCGACCCCUCUCACCCCAGACAAAAACUGUUUGUGCCCCUUCCAUCUGGCAGGAGGCUGAGGUCCAUCAGGACUAAGACCUCCCGCCACACGAACAGUUUCUUCCCGUCGGCAGUCGGGCUCAUCAACAGAGCCGCUCCCCCACUGACUGACUAUAACAUUCCACCGAUCACUCUGCUUCACACUGCACAUGUCACUUUAACUGCAAUUCAUCACUUUGUCGUCACUUGUCACUUUGUCUCUUGUCUGUUACUUGUUCGUUAGUGCACAUAAUUAUGCUUAAUAUUUUUCUUUUUAACUUUUUAAUAUUUAAAAAUGUU
ensembl:lncRNA